CACCGGGUAAGACAGGCGCUGGCAGUGCACC
rnacentral:piRNA from 1 species